GACGAACGCUGGCGGCGUGCUUAACACAUGCAAGUCGAGCGGAGCGGCGAACGGGUGAGUAACGCGUGAGUAACUGCCCCCCUCUCUGGGAUAACAGUUGGAAACGGCUGCUAAUACCGGAUAGUGGGGGAUGACUCGCGUCCUAUCAGCUUGUUGGUGGGGUAGUGGCCUACCAAGGCGACGACGGGUAGCCGGCCUGAGAGGGCGACCGGCCACAUGGGGCUGAGAUACGGCCCAAAGUAGUAGGGGAGGCAGCAGGGGGGAAUAUGGCACAAUGGGGGAAACGCUGAGGCAGAAACGCCGCGGGCGGGAUGACGGCCUGCGGGUUGUAAACCGCUGUCAGCCAUGACGCGGUAGUGGCAGAAGAAGCACCGGCUAACUACGUGCCAGCAGCCGCGGUAAUUC
rnacentral:rRNA from 1 species